rnacentral:rRNA from 1 species
CGGCAACAGCUCAAAUUUGAAAUCUGGCCUCUUUCGGGGUCCGAGUUGUAAUUUGUAGAGGACGUUUCGGGUACCGCUACGGCUUAAAUUUCUUGGAACAGAAUGUCAGAGAGGGUGAGAAUCCCGU